CGAAUUGUCUUGUGCACAGUGUCAUCAUUGUGAACUCUUGUGAGGGAAAGAGGAGUGUUGCUCUCGGACUCAUCUGCCUCAACAUCAACAGAUCUGAACACCCAGAGCCAUCUUUUUACAAGAUCAGGCCCCCCACUUAGUGUAUUUGACAAGCUGAGUUUGACACUCUGUAUCAGUGAGUGUCAGUUUGUCAAAUACCCCAAGUGAGGUGUCACUUGUCUACAGAUUUAACCCUUACUGGGUCACGCAACAGACUGAGCAGGCAACUCCCCUGGGUGAUCUACCACACCAAGGAAACUGAAAACAUCAAGGCAACAAAAGCAAAAACUUUUCUUGUAAAUGUUUUGAGGAUAUGGACAAGGAACAACGUUUACAGUGGUUAAAGUGGUAGCGCUGAAGAUGCACAAAUGCUUAACUGCCAGUUAGUUAGUAAAUCAAAUGCAAAAUUACUCUCACAUAUCAUUGUUUUAAUGAACAGAAAGAAUAAUUCUAUCCCAUGAGAAUCUAAAUAUGUGUAAAAGAGGACUCACCAAAGGCUUCAUAGAGAUGUUUGAAAAAGAGAGGUAUGUUAAAAGGUUUAUUGACCAAAGAGUAGCCUAUCCUUCCCUUUUCAGUUUUUUUAUAGGCUUACAGCACAGUCACUAGGUAGCUCAGCAAAACAUGCCACGUUUUUAGGACAAGUAAGGCUACUCUGAUUCCAUCGUUUGGUAUGUUCUUGCAUCAUUUUUAUUUUAUUUUCUGACACAAUUUUUACUCUGAGGGUUACAGAGGUUAAAAUAAGCUUUUGCAAUGUAUUCUUGAAACUAAUGAGAACGACCUGUCAUAUACAAUGAGCUGUUGCUGGACAUGCAAGUGAGAUCAAAUGAAAAAGCUAAAUUAUAUUAUGUGUAUUUUAUUGUGUACAAGCAAAACCAUGUAAAGACUAAAGGGAUGCUAAGUUUUUAGGUGCUUGCGUCAUUUGUUCCAUUCAAUAUUUUGCUAAAUUGUUAUGUUCAGCCCUGAUGAAAGUGAACUUUCUCUCUGCCAAGAUGUGGGACUGGUUUUCUUUUAAUUUUUUUUCAUUUCCAUUGUGAAAAUCUGACUUGGACUUAGUCGAGAUACAGAGAUGAAGAGAAUAAAAGCAAAAUAUACAGUGACCCUGGAAUUUAGGCCCUAUGUGUGAUAACAUGAUCUGCCAAAAUGCAUCAACCAUGUACAAUAAAGGUUAAUGAGGUGCAGUUUUUACAGGCUGAUCUAUGAAGGGCCAUGCUUGUAUUCAAAAGCUGCUGGAAGUGUUGUACAUAGAAGCUUAUCAUUUAACUGACUUCUAAAAGAUGACACUUAUCGGUCCGCCUUGCAUUUCCUGUUCCUGUGGGGACAUGUAUUUCUAUAUGUGUAAGAACAAAUGUGUAUGCCUGUUUAUACUGAAAUACCAAUUAUUAUCUACAUUCUCACUAAGUGUUUCUGACUUCUGUUGCAUCAAAUGACGCUUCAUUAAUAUUUUAAUUUAUUUCUUGGUAUAUUUAGCAGGGACGGUGCAUAUUGAUAAAACACUCCUGUAAAAAGCAGUAAAAUUAGUCAUGAAGUUUUUUUCAUCUGUAGUCCCUUUUAAGUCAUCCUAAAAAAGAGAAUUUAAGACUGAAUUUGCAAAGUUAUUAAUAUAAUUUAUAAAAAUGCUGAAUAAUAAUAAGUUAAUUGAAACAUCCUUAUGGACAACCUUAUUUUGCAUUUUCAGUAACUUUUUAAAACACAGAGGCCCAUAAUGCAAAAGCACGUACAAAACAAAAGGAAAUAUCAUAUGGACUAAAUAAGACAACACUAACAUGACACAUGCAGAGCAGAAGCACAGACAUAAAAAAAAAGAUUCACAAUCCACAUACGUCUAUAAAAUAAAUCAUAAAUUUAAACAAAACCACAAUAAAAGUCAUACACACAGGUACAUGAGGGCAGACUGGCGAUAGUAGUAUAAGUUUAAAAGUUCUAAAUCAUGAUCAGUGGGCAGCACACACAUCUACUACUAUCAUCACUAUUUUGGCUGGUAACACACCAUGCAAGUCAUGAGCACUUCAGAAAUGAACACUGCUGCAGUGGUACACCUCUGCAUCAAACUUUUGCACCUCCUUUAAUCUAUCAUGUGUUGAGCAUGCUUGGUAUAAACAUAAUUAAGUGGAUGAUGUACAGUCGAGUUUUAUCUGCACGGCUUAAUGUGCAGAUGGUGAAGAUGAUAUAUUUUUUAUCACACUCUCAUAUGCCGUUACAUCACAACUGAUUUCUGACUAUUAGGGGAUGUUUAAUUCCAAUUGGAGUAUUUCGAAAAUAAUUUUUUUACAUGUUUUGCAGUGCUAAGCACUGUAGCCAGAAACCAUAUCAUGUUGCUCUUAUUUCUUUCCAGAUUUCUUUUUUUGAAGGUUGUUCAAAUGUCAAGUUGUGCUGUAUACUGUAAGCGAGUCUUGUCUAGUUUCCAAGGCUGUUGGAAAUGUUCUUAGAAUAACAUUGGUCUGAAACAGGACUUUAACACAUGUUUUAAAGUCAUCUGAAUAGUUUGCAUAUGGAUCUUUUUUUUUUUUUGGAUCAGUUAUCCAUUAAACUCAAACUUAGCACAGACAUCAACAAUAAAUGUACCUUAUUCAAAUUGUUGAGCCACACAGGCUGUACUUUUGGACCAGUUGUCCUCAACCGUUGCAAUUUCAUUGCACAAAUUGUGCAUUAUAGUACUUAUCUGUGUUUCCAAGAAGUCAAACCUCAUCUGCAAUAAUACCUGACACCAUAAUACACCAAAGAUAUCUGUGCAUCACUCACACUUGUUAUAUUAUAGUGUGUGAAGUAAUUCAGUGUGAAGUAAACAGGUUAUAUGUGGUCAAUGGUGGCGGUUGUGUGCAUGAAAUUGUUAAAAAUGUCACUACACAAUGUAAAAAGUCUCUUUUGUCUGCAUUUUGAUUCAAGCUGCCGGCUUUUCUAUAUAUCAACUGUGUUCUGUCUUGCAUUUAUGACUGUAAUUCUACAAGCAACCUCUGUUUGCCCAGUAAGUGGUGGUAGAGCUCUAUUCUUUGAUUUGUCCCAUUCAUGAGACCAGCUUCAUAUUAAAAAGUUUGAUAGUGAACACAAUACACACAA